CACCUUUCACAUAGAUUAUCUCAGUUAAUUUAAUAUUCCACUUUCUGUUUGUGCUACCACUUGGAAAACUACAGACUGGCAGAUUAAAGAUACCCUUCUUUGUGGAUGUGAAUCUGGAAACCUCUUGAACGAAUCUAUAUACUCAACAAUGAACUGGCUGUCCAGCUCCCUCUCUCCCUCAUCUCCUCCUGGUCCAUACACUUAGUAAGGUACUUUGAUCAUUGAAUGUACUAUCCCCACAAAGGGAUCAUCACUUCUUGGCCACUUCCUGGAUAAUGGUCAGGACAAAAUGGGAGCGAGGUGAUUAUGGAGUAUCAUAGAGACCUGUUUUGAAAAUUCAGGAUACC
rnacentral:lncRNA from 1 species